rnacentral:rRNA from 1 species
GAUCAUGGCUCAGAACGAACGCUGGCGGCAGGCCUAACACAUGCAAGUUGAACGGGAAUAAUUGAUAGCUUGCUAUUGAUUAUGAGAGUAGCGCACUGGUGAGUAACACGUGGGAACAUACCUUUUUAGUGGGGGGACAACAGAGGGAAACUUCUGCUAAUACCGCAUAAACCCUGAGGGGGAAAGGAGCAAUUCGCUAAAAGAUUGGCCCGCGGAAGAUUAGGUAGUUGGUGAGGUAAAGGCCCACCAAGCCUACGAUCUAUAGCUGGUCUGAGAGGACGAACAGCCACAUUGGAACUGAGACACGGUCCAGACUCCUACGGGAGGCAGCAGUGAGGAAUAUUGGGCAAUGGAGGAAACUCUGACCCAGCCCAUGCCGCGUGAGUGAGAAGGUCUUCGGAUUGUAAAGCUCUUUUAUACAGGAAGAUGAUGACAGUACUGUAAGAAAAAGCACCGGCAAACUUCGUGCCAGCCGCGGC